rnacentral:rRNA from 1 species
UACGGAGGGGGCUAGCGUUGUUCGGAAUUACUGGGCGUAAAGCGCACGUAGGCGGACUAUUAAGUCAGGGGUGAAAUCCCGGAGCUCAACUCCGGAACUGCCCUUGAAACUGCAGUGCUAGAAUCUUGGAGAGGCGAGUGGAAUUCCGAGUGUAGAGGUGAAAUUCGUAGAUAUUCGGAAGAACACCAGUGGCGAAGGCGACUCGCUGGACAAGUAUUGACGCUGAGGUGCGAAAGCGUGGGGAGCAAACAGG